AGAGUUUGAUCCUGGCUCAGGAUGAACGCUAGCGGCAGGCUUAAUACAUGCAAGUCGAGGGGUAACAGGGAAGCUUGCUUCCGCUGACGACCGGCGCACGGGUGCGUAACACGUAUGCAACCUACCUUUAACUGAGGAAUAGCCCCGAGAAAUCGGGAUUAAUACCUCAUAAUAUUCAUCUUUCGCAUGUCUGAUGAAUUAAAACUCCGGUGGUUAAAGAUGGGCAUGCGCGACAUUAGUUAGUUGGUGAGGUAACGGCUCACCAAGACCGCGAUGUCUAGGGGUUCUGAGAGGAAUAUCCCCCACACUGGUACUGAGACACGGACCAGACUCCUACGGGAGGCAGCAGUAAGGAAUAUUGGUCAAUGGGCGAAAGCCUGAACCAGCCAUGCCGCGUGCAGGAUGAAGGCCCUAUGGGUUGUAAACUGCUUUUAUAUGGGAAGAAACUUUUGUACGUGUACAGAACUGACGGUACCAUACGAAUAAGGACCGGCUAACUCCGUGCCAGCAGCCGCGGUAAUACGGAGGGUCCAAGCGUUAUCCGGAUUCAUUGGGUUUAAAGGGUGCGCAGGCGGACCGAUAAGUCAGUGGUGAAAUCCUACAGCUCAACUGUAGAACUGCCAUUGAUACUGUCGAUCUUGAGUAUAGUUGAAGUGGGCGGAAUGUAUCAUGUAGCGGUGAAAUGCAUAGAUAUGAUACAGAACUCCGAUAGCGAAGGCAGCUCACUAACCUAUAACUGACGCUCAGGCACGAAAGCGUGGGGAGCAAACAGGAUUAGAUACCCUGGUAGUCCACGCCGUAAACGAUUAUCACUCGUUGUUGGCGAUACACAGUCAGCGACUGAACGAAAGUAUUAAGUGAUCCACCUGGGAAGUACGAUCGCAAGGUUGAAACUCAAAGGAAUUGACGGGGGCCCGCACAAGCGGAGGAGCAUGUGGUUUAAUUCGAUGAUACGCGAGGAACCUUACCUGGGCUUAAAUGUAUAAUGACCGACUGGGAAACCAGUCUUCUCUUCGGAGCAUUUUACAAGGUGCUGCAUGGUUGUCGUCAGCUCGUGCCGUGAGGUGUCGGGUUAAGUCCCAUAACGAGCGCAACCCCUAUUCUUAGUUGCCAUCAGAUAAUGCUGGGGACUCUAAGGAAACUGCCUACGCAAGUAGUGAGGAAGGUGGGGAUGACGUCAAAUCAGCACGGCCCUUAUGUCCAGGGCUACACACGUGCUACAAUGGUCGGUACAGAGGGUCGCUACCUCGCGAGGGGGAGCGAAUCCCAAAAAGCCGGUCUCAGUUCGGAUUGCAGUCUGCAACUCGACUGCAUGAAGUCGGAAUCGCUAGUAAUCGUGGAUCAGCACGCCACGGUGAAUACGUUCCCGGGCCUUGUACACACCGCCCGUCACACC
rnacentral:rRNA from 1 species